AUUGAACGCUGGCGGCAUGCCUUACACAUGCAAGUCGAACGGUAACAGGUCUUCGGAUGCUGACGAGUGGCGAACGGGUGAGUAAUAUAUCGGAACGUGCCCAGUCGUGGGGGAUAACGCAGUGAAAGCUGUGCUAAUACCGCAUACGAUCUAUGGAUGAAAGCGGGGGAUCGCAAGACCUCGCGCGAUUGGAGCGGCCGAUAUCAGAUUAGGUAGUUGGUAGGGUAAAAGCCUACCAAGCCAACGAUCUGUAGCUGGUCUGAGAGGACGACCAGCCACACUGGAACUGAGACACGGUCCAGACUCCUACGGGAGGCAGCAGUGGGGAAUUUUGGACAAUGGGCGCAAGCCUGAUCCAGCAAUGCCGCGUGCAGGAUGAAGGCCUUCGGGUUGUAAACUGCUUUUGUACGGAACGAAAAAGUCUGCCCUAAUACGGCGGGCCCAUGACGGUACCGUAAGAAUAAGCACCGGCUAACUACGUG
rnacentral:rRNA from 1 species